ACGCUCGACACCUACGCGAGGCAGCAGUGGGGAAUAUUGCACAAUGGGGGAAACCCUGAUGCAGCGACGCCGCGUGGAGGAAGAAGGUCUUCGGAUUGUAAACUCCUGUUGUUGGGGAAAAAGAGGAUGGUACCCAACAAGGAAGUGACGGCUAACUACGUGCUAGCAGCCGCGGUAAUCUGAGCGGGCUGGCAAGGC
rnacentral:rRNA from 1 species